rnacentral:rRNA from 1 species
GACAGAGGAUGCAAGCGUUAUCCGGAAUGAUUGGGCGUAAAGCGUCUGUAGGUGGCUUUUUAAGUCUGCCGUCAAAUCCCAGGGCUUAACCCUGGACAGGCGGUGGAAACUACCAAGCUGGAGUACGGUAGGGGCAGGGGGAAUUUCCGGUGGAGCGGUGAAAUGCGUAGAGAUCGGAAAGAACACCAACGGCGAAAGCACUCUGCUGGGCCGACACUGACAUUGAGAGACGAAAGCUAGGGGAGCGAAUGGG